rnacentral:lncRNA from 1 species
AUUCAUCUGACGCAUCCUCUACCAAACUUGGUUAUUUUGUUUUUUUUUUUUAAAAAUUGGUUAUUUUUGAAUUUUUUUUGAAAAAAUUGGUUGUUUUGAAAAAAAAAUUCACUAAUUAUAGUGCUUGUAAUUAAUUACUCUUCGUAAAAAAAAGUGUCUUAUUUAUAUAUUUUUUAUAUCUUAAAAUAAAUGUCUUUUUAGAAA